rnacentral:rRNA from 1 species
GAAUUUUGGACAAUGGGCGAAAGCCUGAUCCAGCAAUGCCGCGUGCAGGAUGAAAGCAUUCGGGUUGUAAACUGCUUUUGUACGGAACGAAAAGCUUUGGGUUAAUACCCUGGAGUCAUGACGGUACCGUAAGAAUAAGCCCCGUCUACCUACGUGCCCGCAGCCGCGUUAAUACGUAGGGUGACAGCGGUAAUCGGAAUUACUGGGGUUAAAGCGUGCGCAGGCGGUUUUGUAAGACAGAGGUGAAAUCCCCGGGCUCAACCUGGGAACUGCCUUUGUGACUGCAAGGCUAGAGUACGGCAGAGGGGGGUGGAAUUCCGCGUGUAGCAGUGAAAUGCGUAGAUAUGCGGAGGAACACCGACGGCGAAGGCAACCCCCUGGGCCUGUACUGACGCUCAUGCACGAAAGCGUGGGGAGCAAACAG